CUGGUAGUGAAGUAAGUUAGCAUGUUUUUUUAUUAUUGUUAAAUAAGAGGAGGUAGUGGUUAUUAGUGGACAUGUUCAUCAUAUCUUUUGUUACUCCUUAUUUUUCAACUGUAUAUUGGUUAUUUUAGUGCCUAUUUAAGGACCAUUUAUUGCUUUAUGAAAAUCAAGAAAACUAGGUAUAACUUUUGUGAAAGUAUUGGGUCAGACCGUCUGACCUAAUACUUUCCGUCGGACGGGCUGAGCCCAUCAAAACGCGCGCGGGCUUUUUUUUUCAUAUUUGUUUGUUUUUUUAAAAAAUAUUUAACGAUCAUUAUGUUUAAUCUUUUGACGGUUUUGAAACUGUUUUUUAUGUAGUUCGUACUUGAUUAUCUCUAGUUUUAAAACUGUUUCUUCUCUCUUAAUUUCUCAUUAAUUCAAGUUUUGCUCUUAAUUUUUCUGCUUCUCUGCUUCUCUGUUGUUGAAAUUUACUUUGUUUUUUGGUUCGUAAUUGAUUACUGUUGCAUCGCAAAUAUGGUUAAGAGGAUCAGAGAUGAAGUUUCUAGGUAUAACUUGGUUUGGAUUUGCUGUAAUUUUUUAUUCCCAAAUUCUUAGUGUGUUGUUGUAAUUGUAAUGCAGCUCGAAGGUGAAGACAGACGCAUCUUCAGGAAAACAUUUGGUUGUGUCUACUGCUGGGAAGAGGAAAGAGAAAGAUGGUGAUUAUGAUCCAAGCUGUGAUAAAUCAUUGUCUAAGAAGAAAGGCAAAGCUGAUUUAUCACCAGUGAAGUUUACAUUUGCAAGGUCUAAUCCAGGAAUUUGACAGAGCAAGAAAAAUGAAGUCUAUUAGUCUACAUGUAUUGUCAGACUAUUCUCAUUUACAUGAAGUUGUUAGUAUCUUCAGUGAUCAGCAGCAAAGAGACAUUAGGGAAAUUGGGUUUGACAGUCUUCUAGAUAUUAGGAUAAAGAAGUUAUGUUCGAAUAUCAAUUUGGAGUUGUUGUUGAAUACAAUGCUUCCGGAAUGAUGUUUUUGACAAAGAAUGGUAAAGUAAUUUUUAAUAAGUUUACCAUCAGGGAUGUUUUGGGUUUACCUGUAUUAUUUAAACCAGUUGAGGUUAUUGAUGAUGAUGCCUUUAGGAGGAAAGGUAGUCAGGUGGAGGCAGGAAGUGCCAGGAGGGAUUGACAUAGGUUGCUUGAUGUUUCUGAUCCCAAGAAGCCAUAUAUUAGUAAAAAAAAUUGGGAUGAUUUGUUUAAGAAGCAUCAAAGUGGGGAUGAUUUUAAGAAGUUGUUUGUUAUUUUUUGCUUAUAAAAGCUCCUUUGUCCACGUGCUGAUUUAGUGCCUGCCCUGAAGUGUGCCAAGAGUUUGGAAGAUGUAUCUAUGAUUUCAAGCUACGAUUGGUGUUGAUAUGUCUUACGAAGUCCUUGUACUGCUGUAUUGGACUGUCAUCAGACUAUAAUGAUGAGGAAGAACGAGCUGGGACAGAAGAAAGUGACAUUUAAGCUUCGGGGAUGCAUGAGCGCUCUGGCUCUUGCUGUUAUUCACAACUUCAAGUGUCGUAAUCUGGAUUUCUCAAAUGUCAGUAAGCUAUUUAUCACUUAUUGGCAGGAAGAGAAGCAUUUGAGUAGUGUUGUGAAGCAGUUUGAGAUCAGCAUGGAAUUUAUUCUGCCAGUGAAACGUGAAAAAGAGAAGCUUGAGUUUAAAGCUCCUAGUGUUAGUGCUGCUAGUAGGAAGUCUGCUUCUCCUGCAAUAAAGGUGGUUGAGGGUCCAUCACCUUCAACUAGGCAGUUUGUUAUGGAUCUUCCUCAUACUUUGAUGAGUGAUGAG